CCUUCAGGCUGAGAUGGCCGAGAUGCCUCUUCACUCCUGCUCUGGGCUCCUUGGACUCCACUUCUCCCAUGCCCUCCUUGCCUUCUGGUGCACCUUUGUGGGCAGCGGCUCUGCUGUGACAGUGACCCAGACUCCAAGCUUUGCCAGUGACUCGACAGGGCAAAAUAUUUCCUUCAGGUGCUCUGUGGAUGAAGCAGGCUACAGAUUGUAUUGGUAUCAACAAUUGCCUGGGAAGACAGAACUGAAAGUCCUUGGGUACCUCUCCAGUUUGGACCGUGAACUUCAACAAAAACAUGAGGAUUUCCAGAAUCGGCUGAAAGCAAAGUGGGAAGACCAAAAUAGCAAGAAGAUGCAUUUGGAUCUGUUACGUCUUCAGGCGAAUGAUACAGGCUUCUAUCUCUGUGCUGCUGUGUACACGUUGAAUGAGGUAGGAAUUGAGGCUGGUACAAAACUGAGUAUCAGAAUAAGCUUUCCCACCUUUUCUUAACUUCUUCUGAUGUCAUCUCCAUGAAGCUAUCUGAUUCAGACUGCUGAGGCCACUCUGGAAACCUCACCUCUACCCAUCGUCUCCAAUCAUAGUCUCUCUGGAUGAACAAGAUUAUCACUUCCAAGCUGGUUAGGGAUAAUGGUAGUUCUACUCCAAAGCAUCCAGUAGGCAUCUGGUUGGGAAGGAUUCAAAUACUGAGGACACCCAGACAGCCUAACACAAAUUCAUUUGCAUUGUGCUAGAAUUAGCUCAAAACCAUUCUAUAAAAAUUCCAUGGUAUGAAAUAAUAUAACAUCAGUUCCCACAUUAUUCCAAGCAAUAAUGUAUAGUUGGUUGUUGUUGUUGUUUUUACUUAGUGUAUGGUGAAUUCAGUCCCUAUGGUUCUUAUAAGUUAGCAUAUUAAUGGUGGUUUUUCAAU